rnacentral:sRNA from 1 species
GGUGGUGUGACUGAUAUGCAUAACCAUCAUGUUCUUGUUGUUGAUG